rnacentral:rRNA from 1 species
UACGGAGGGUGCAAGCGUUAAUCGGAAUUACUGGGCGUAAAGAGUGCGUAGGUGGUUUAGUGUGUUAGAUGUGAAAUCCAUGGGCUUAACCUGUGAAUUGCAUUUAAAACUGCUGAGCUAGAGUGUUGUAGAGGGUGGCGGAAUUUCCAGUGUAGCGGUGAAAUGCGUAGAUAUUGGAAGGAACACCAGUGGCGAAGGCGGCCACCUGGACAAACACUGACACUGAGGCACGAAAGCGUGGGGAGCAAACAGG